rnacentral:rRNA from 1 species
CCUACGGGUGGCAGCAGUGAGGAAUAUUGGUCAAUGGCCGCAGGCCUGAACCAGCCAAGUCGCGUGAGGGAUGACGGUCCUAUGGAUUGUAAACCUCUUUUGUCAGGGAGCAAAGUGCGCCACGUGUGGCGUUUUGCGAGUACCUUACGAAAAAGCAUCGGCUAACUCCGUGCCAGCAGCCGCGGUAAUACGGAGGAUCCGAGCGUUAUCCGGAUUUAUUGGGUUUAAAGGGUGCGCAGGCGGAAUGUCAAGUCAGCGGUAAAAUUUCGGGGCUCAACCCCGUCGUGCCGUUGAAACUGGCGGUCGUGAGUGAGCGAGAAGUAGGCGGAAUGCGUGGUGUAGCGGUGAAAUGCAUAGAUAUCACGCAGAACUCCGAUUGCGAAGGCAGCAUACCGGAGCGCAACUGACGCUCAUGCACGAAAGCGUGGGUAUCGAACAGGAUUAGAUACCCCAGUAGUC